AUGAGCUAUUAUGGAGGCAGCUCUUCCGGUGGCAGGGGUGGCCGUCGAGUCGAGUAUGGGAGGAGCUAUGUGGUGAGGCCAAAGGGACGGCACCUAGCCACCAUUGUGUGGCUCCAUGGCCUAGGUGACAAUGGUGCAAGCUGGUCCCAGCUGCUGGAUGCUCUUCCCUUGCCCAAUAUCAAGUGGAUAUGCCCCACCGCAGCGACCCGGCCCGUCGCGGCUUUUGGCGGGUUCCCCUGCACUGCAUGGUUCGACGUUGAUGACACCUCGGUCGAUGGUCGCGACGACAUCGAGGGGCUGGAUGCUUCAGCUGCACACAUAGCGAACCUACUGUCCUCGGAGCCUUCUGAUGUGAAGCUUGGGAUCGGCGGCUUCAGCAUGGGUGCAGCAGCUGCCCUGCACUCGGCAGCAUGCUACGCUCACGGCAAGUUCAGCAGCGGCACCCCCUACCCGAUUACUCUCAGCGCCGUCGUCAGCUUGAGCGGCUGGCUCCCUUGCUCAAGGACGCUGAGGGGCAAGAUGGAGGGCUCACACAUGGCAGCAAGAAGAGCCGCCUCCCUGCCCAUCCUGCUCAGCCAUGGCAGAGCGGAUGAGGUUGUCCCCUACAGGAACGGCGAGCGGUCGACCGAGUUCCUGCGGUCCUCGGGGUUCUCGUAUCUGACUUUCAAGUCCUACAACGGGUUGGGCCACUACACCAUCCCCGAAGAGAUGGACGACGUCUGCAGGUGGCUCAGCUCGCGGCUCAGCGUCGACCGAUCUCGUUGA
rnacentral:rRNA from 1 species